rnacentral:lncRNA from 1 species
CAGGUAGCCAAACAAGUAGCCCUAUAACCCAUGCAAGGCCAGUUUCUGUCCCUGUCCUUGUUCUCUCCUCUUUCCUCCUCAGAAGAAAAGGAGGACUUCCAGGCCCAGAACCUCCAAAAGCAAGGACCACGGAACAGACGUGUUCAUCUGCCAACCUGACCUUCACAAAAAGCUACGACCAAAGUGGACAGGCCCCUACACUGUGAUACUCAGCACACCAGCUGCAGUGAGAGUCCAAAGAUUCCCCAACUGGAUCCAUCGCACCAGGGUCAAGCUCAUCCCCAAGGCUACGUCUUCCUCCAAAACAUUAGCAGCUAAGUGGUCGUCAAGCACAAUUUCUCCUACCAAGCUUAAAUUAACCAAAAAACUUUCUUAAAACCAAAAACCCCCUAGAAAGUGUAAACAUGGAGAAGACUAAUUACCUGCUUCCAGAAAUGGCCUGUAUCUACCCAACCGCUUGCUGUGCCUCACUUCCAAC